GAGUUCAGGGUUAGUUCCCUUGCAAAGUGUGGGAAGAAGUGGACGGUGGAUCCGGUACAUAGAAAGUUGAGGGUGGGUGAGAAUCCUCGCCAACGGGACCACUUGUACAAAGGACAGAACACUUCGACUGGUGAUUUUAGGGGUCACGGUAGCUGGGGAAGUGCAUUGCUGUGAAGUCCAAAAUGGAUACUUCCAAACCAUCAGUCAAGCCAUUAAGAACGGUAGUAAACCAAGGUAUGAGUCUCUAAGUUAGCAAAGAUGCUGUUCCCCAUGACAUGGUGCUAUUAUUAUCAGCCAUAUUAGAAGGUACCCGGUUAGGUCACCCAGUUGCCCUCUUUGUAGGUUAUAAGGUACAGCUUGCAAUAGGUUUCUUUCAAGAGCCAAUUGAAAGGAC
rnacentral:lncRNA from 1 species